rnacentral:rRNA from 1 species
AUGAACGCUAGCGGCAGGCUUAAUACAUGCAAGACGAACGGUAAGAAUUGUAGCAAUACGAUUCCUAGAGUGUCGUACGGGUGCGUAACACGUAUGCAACCUACCUUGUACAGGAGUAUAGCUCCCCGAAAGGGGAAUUAACCCUCCAUAAUAUCAUUUGGUGGCAUCAUUGAAUGAUUAAAACUGAGGUGGUACAAGAUGGGCAUGCGUUUGAUUAGUUAGUUGGCAGUGUAACGGACUACCAAGACGAUGAUCAAUAGGGGACCUGAGAGGGUGAUCCCCCACACUGGCACUGAGAUACGGGCCAGACUCCUACGGGAGGCAGCAGUAGGGAAUAUUGGACAAUGGGUGAGAGCCUGAUCCAGCCAUGCCGCGUGCAGGAAGAAGGCGUUAUGCGUUGUAAACUGCUUUUGCCAGGGGAUAAAACGACUCUGCGGAGUUAAUUGAAGGUACCUGGUGAAUAAGCCACGGCUAACUACGU